GGAGGCGGCGACGCCCCCCCGACUUGAGACCGGCCACAGCCGGUCUGCCGCCUCCGCACCUCAUUCUCGAUGAUGCCACUUUCGGCGGGCCCUCGGGCCCGCC
rnacentral:sRNA from 1 species